rnacentral:rRNA from 1 species
UACGGAGGGGGCUAGCGUUGUUCGGAAUUACUGGGCGUAAAGCGCACGUAGGCGGCUUUGUAGGUUAGAGGUGAAAGCCCGGAGCUCAACUCCGGAAUUGCCUUUAAGACUGCAUCGCUAGAAUUGUGGAGAGGUGAGUGGAAUUCCGAGUGUAGAGGUGAAAUUCGUAGAUAUUCGGAAGAACACCAGUGGCGAAGGCGACUCACUGGACACAUAUUGACGCUGAGGUGCGAAAGCGUGGGGAGCAAACAGG